ensembl:lncRNA
ACACGGACGCGUGCUUGCCAGAAGGGUGGGGGUGGAUGUGAGAAAGGGCGCUCAGUCAGCGCAGCGCACCAGUCUGCGGAGAGUUAAACACUGAAAUACACAUACUGCCCCGUCCUCCAGGACCGGAAAGCCACUGCCAAAUCAUCCUACACAAAAACACAAGCAGGCCGCAGGGGGAAAUGAGCAAAGAAGGAGAGGAAGAGAAAGAAAAAGACUAAAGGAGGGGGAACUACAAAAUGACAAACACCGAGCCAUCCUCAGCGUGUGACCAUGGGACAUCACAAAAGAAAAAGAGACAGAGGAAAAAAAGAGUUUGACUUGUAGUUUUAUAACAUUUGUAAAGAAAACAUCAACUAGAAUAAGGCAUGAUUCUUCUUCCUUUUUGUUUGUUUUUUACAAAAAAAAAAAAACAUAAAUGUCAGUAAAACAAUUAAGAAGAAAAAAAAGCAACAAAAAGUGCUUCCUGUGAACUGUAAUCGCAUGAUGACUGCUGGUGCAUGACCUUUGACCUUUUGAACUGUCAUUAUCCUCAAAACUGAAGGGGUGCAAGGUACGGGGCUGGCCCAUGAUUUCACGGACCUGUGAUUUCAAGGACCUAUUCCUCCCCCCACACACCCCCUCCCCCACCACCCCCCCAACCGGAGGUGUUUGUAUCAAGUUGAGUCCAAUGACACUACAGCCAAAAAAAAGAAGUCCCUCCAUGGACGGUUCCGUACACAGC